CGGGACACGUGGUAUCCUGUCUGAAUAUGGGGGGACCAUCCUCCAAGGCUAAAUACUCCUGACUGACCGAUAGUGAACCAGUACCGUGAGGGAAAGGCGAAAAGAACCCCGGCGAGGGGAGUGAAAAAGAACCUGAAACCGUGUACGUACAAGCAGUGGGAGCACAGAGCAAUCUGUGUGACUGCGUACCUUUUGUAUAAUGGGUCAGCGACUUAUAUUCUGUAGCAAGGUUAACCGAAUAGGGGAGCCGAAGGGAAACCGAGUCUUAACUGGGCGUUAAGUUGCAGGGUAUAGACCCGAAACCCGGUGAUCUAGCCAUGGGCAGGUUGAAGGUUGGGUAACACUAACUGGAGGACCGAACCGACUAAUGUUGAAAAAUUAGCGGAUGACUUGUGGCUGGGGGUGAAAGGCCAAUCAAACCGGGAGAUAGCUGGUUCUCCCCGAAAGCUAUUUAGGUAGCGCCUCGUGAAUUCAUCUCCGGGGGUAGAGCACUGUUUCGGCAAGGGGGUCAUCCCGACUUACCAACCCGAUGCAAACUGCGAAUACCGGAGAAUGUUAUCACGGGAGACACACGGCGGGUGCUAACGUCCGUCGUGAAGAGGGAAACAACCCAGACCGCCAGCUAAGGUCCCAAAGUCAUGGUUAAGUGGGAAACGAUGUGGGAAGGCCCAGACAGCCAGGAUGUUGGCUUAGAAGCAGCCAUCAUUUAAAGAAAGCG
rnacentral:rRNA from 1 species